rnacentral:rRNA from 1 species
UACAGAGGGUGCAAGCGUUAUUCGGAAUCAUUGGGCGUAAAGGGCGUGUAGGCGGUUCGUUAAGUCUGAUGUGAAAUCCCUGGACUCAAUUCAGGAAGUGCAUCGGAUACUGGCGGACUGGAGCGCGGGAGAGGGGAACGGAAUUCCAGGUGUAGAGGUGAAAUUCGUAGAUAUCUGGAGGAACAACAGUGGCGAAGGCGGUUCCCUGGACUGUUGCUGACGCUGAGGCGCGAAAGCGUGGGGAG